rnacentral:rRNA from 1 species
AAACUUCACAAUGGAGGCAACUCCGAUGAGGGAAUUCCAAGUGCUAGCACAUUAGUGUUAGCUUUUCUUAAGCAUAGAUAACUUAAGGAAUAAGGGCUGGGUAAGACGGGUGCCAGCCGCCGCGGUAAUACCCGCAGCCCAAGUGGUGGUCGAUUUUAUUGAGUCUAAAACGUUCGUAGCCGGUUCAUUAAAUCCUUGGGUAAAUCGGAUGGCUUAACUAUCCGAAUUCCGGGGAGACUGGUGAACUUGGGACCGGGAGAGGCAAGAGGUACUUUUGGGGUAGGGGUAAAAUCCCGUAAUCCUAGAAGGACCACCGGUGGCGAAGGCGUCUAGCUAGAACGGAUCCGACGGUGAGGGACGAAGCCCUGGGUCGCAAACGGGAUUAGAUACCCCGGUAGUCCAGGUGUAAACGCUGCCGACUUGGUGUUGGAGGCCCUUCGGGGGCAUUCAGUGCCGGAGAGAAGUUGUUAAGUCGGCUACUUGGGGAGUACGUCCGCAAGGAUGAAACUUAAAGGAAUU